rnacentral:rRNA from 1 species
GACAUGAAGUUAGGUCAGCAAACCCGCUGAAUUUAAGCAUAUAAGUAAGCGGAGGAAAAGAAACUAAAUAGGAUUYCCUCAGUAAUGGCGAAUGAACAGGGAUAAGCUCAGCAUGGAAAUCGGGGCCCCUGGCCUUGAAUUGUAGUCUCGAGAUGUACUGCCAACGGAGGCACAGAUGUAAGCCUCUUGGAAAAGAGCACCAAUGAGGGUGAGAGUCCCGCUUGCCAUCUGUAGUCCCCCGUGUACGGUGUGCAUUCUAAGAGUCACGUUCCUCAGGAUUGGAGCGCAAAGCGGGUGGUAAAUUUCAUCUAAAGCUGAAUAUCGGUUCGAGAACGAUAGCAAACAAGUACCAUGAGGGAAAGGUGAAAAGGACUUUGAAAAGAGAGUUAAAAGUGCCUGAAAUUGCUGAAAGGGAAGCGAAUGGAACCAGCGCGUCUUGGCGAGAUUGUUGCGUGCUAAUGCGAUUGCCUGCUGCUUCAGCGCAAGCGGGGCAGUAGGUCUUGAGCAGGACGUGCGUGGUGCUUCUUGCCUUGCGUGUCAACUUCAGUUCACACUUGAGGAAAACCUCAGGGACAUGGUAGCUWRSCUCCGGGCGAAUGAAUGUGCCUGGGUGUACUCGAGGGUGUACUGCUUGGKGACGAAAUKKUYY